rnacentral:misc_RNA from 1 species
GAUGAAGAACGCAGCGAAAUGCGAUAAGUAAUGUGAAUUGCAGAAUUCAGUGAAUCAUCGAAUCUUUGAACGCACAUUGCGCCCCCUGGUAUUCCGGGGGGCAUGCCUGUCCGAGCGUCAUUACAACCCUCAAGCUCAGCUUGGUGUUGGGCCCCGCCGCCCCGGCGGGCCCUAAAGUCAGUGGCGGUGCCGUCCGGCUCCGAGCGUAGUAAUUCUUCUCGCUCUGGAGGUCCGGUCGUGUGCUCGCCAGCAACCCCCAAUUUUUUUCAGGUUGACCUCGGAUCAGGUAGGGAUACCCGCUGAACUUAAGCAUAUCAAUAAGCGGAAGGA